rnacentral:rRNA from 1 species
AUUGAACGCUGGCGGCAUGCCUUACACAUGCAAGUCGAACGGUAACGCGGGGCAACCUGGCGACGAGUGGCGAACGGGUGAGUAAUAUAUCGGAAAGUGCCCAGUAGUGGGGGAUAGCCCGGAGAAAGCCGGAUUAAUACCGCAUGAGACCUGAGGGUGAAAGCGGGGGAGCGCCAGACCUCGCGCUAUUGUAGCGGCCGAUAGCAGAUUAGCUAGUUGGGGGGGUGAAGGCCUACCAAGGCAACGAUCUGUAGUUGGUCUGAGAGGACGACCAGCCACACUGGGACUGAGACACGGCCCAGACUCCUACGGGAGGCAGCAGUGGGGAAUUUUGGACAAUGGGCGCAAGCCUGAUCCAGCAAUGCCGCGUGCAGGAAGAAGGCCUUCGGGUUGUAAACUGCUUUUGUCAGGGAAGAAAUCUUCUGGGUUAAUACCUCGGGAGGAUGACGGUACCUGAAGAAUAAGCACCGGCUAACUACGUGCCAGCAGCCGCAGUAACAC